GACGAACGUUGGCGGCGUGCUUAACACAUGCAAGUCGAACGGAAAGGCCCUGCUUUUGUGGGGUGCUCGAGUGGCGAACGGGUGAGUAACACGUGAGUAACCUGCCCUUGACUUUGGGAUAACUUCAGGAAACUGGGGCUAAUACCGGAUAGGAGCUCCUGCUGCAUGGUGGGGGCUGGAAAGUUUCGGCGGUUGGGGAUGGACUCGCGGCUUAUCAGCUUGUUGGUGGGGUAGUGGCUUACCAAGGCUUUGACGGGUAGCCGGCCUGAGAGGGUGACCGGCCACAUUGGGACUGAGAUACGGCCCAGACUCCUACGGGAGGCAGCAGUGGGGAAUAUUGCACAAUGGGCGGAAGCCUGAUGCAGCAACGCCGCGUGCGGGAUGACGGCCUUCGGGUUGUAAACCGCUUUCGCCUGUGACGAAGCGUGAGUGACGGUAAUGGGUAAAGAAGCACCGGCUAACUACGUG
rnacentral:rRNA from 1 species